AGGUGCGAUCAUACCAGGACUAAUGCACCGGAUCCCAUCAGAACUCCGCAGUGAAGCGUGCUUGGGCGAGAGUAGUACUAGGAUGGGUGACCUCCUUGGUAGUCCUAUUGUUCAACCAC
rnacentral:rRNA from 2 species